rnacentral:tRNA from 1 species
AUCUAUAUAGUUUAUAUAAAACAUUAAUCUUGUAAAUUAAAAAUAGAUUAUAUUCUUAUAGGUA